rnacentral:sRNA from 1 species
AUAUUUCAUACGCAAGAGGUUUUAGAUAUCCUUUUGUAUUCGUUUGAAAAGAAUAAUGGAUGGUACUUUAGGGGGUGUUAUUCGUUAAUGGAUUUUAAUAGAAUUGAAAUCCAAUACUAAUCCACUGUUAUUCAACUAAUGAUUCUAAAUCCAACUUUAAAAUCUAGUGUUAUUGGAACUCAUAUUUGUAAAUGAUGCUGAAUAGAUUUUAAAGUUUGGUGUUAUUCAAUUAAGAUUUUAAAUAUUUCAUUAAAAUCCAAUGUUAUUCAAAACUAAAAGACUUGUAAAAUCUUUAUAUAUUAAUUGAUUUGAAAUGAAACCUCUUUGGAGUUUCAUGAGUAAAUCAUUAGAAUCAAAAUCCAAAACAUAUUGCAGAGAUUUUGAAAUUCAUACAAACAUAUUCUUAAAAACAAUAUCAGAAAACAAAUCUAAAGCUUAAAGAAUUGACUUUAACUCCAUAAUUGAAUAACACCACCUUAGAAUCUUAAAUUAUACUAA